AGUAACCACGAAUACCGGCGACCUCCGGCAAAAUUUUGCAUUCGGUAGCCCAAAACAACAUUUCGGUUGCUCACACUGUAUCUUAACUAAAUUCUCUUUUUCGAUAAGCAGAACCUCCGUUGUCAAGGACGAUAAAUCCCCGGGCUUUAUUAUACGCGAUCGGAACGAACAAAUCCACUGGCCUCAUCUCCUCCUCCCGCCCAAACAAACGUCUCCCCAACUCCCUUCCCCGCGCCUUCGCCCUCUCGUCAUCAAGACCAAGAAAACGCCGCCCCGUUUCUUGAUCCGUGAUCCCCAUCUCCUUGCGCAGCGCAGCAAUGGAGCUCUUCAAGAACGCGCGGUCCGUGCGGCUCAAGAGCCACCUGGGCACGUACCUCUGCGCCCCCGACGACGGCGCCGUCUCCCACGGCUACCGCCGCAACCCGCGCGGCGCCGUCUGGGCCGUGGAGCCCGCCGGCGAGGACUGCGUGCGCCUCCAGGGCCACAAGGGCCUCUACCUCGGCGCCACCGAGCUCCCCGCCGACCUCGACUCCGGCGGCCGCGGCACGAGGUCCUGCUGCAGGGUCGUCCUGGGUUCCCCUUCCUGCCCCAACGACAACGCCUUCCUCUGGUCGCCGCUGCGCGAGGGGAAGACGAAGAACCUCCUCACGCUCUCCGGGCCCUACGGCCGCCUCCUCCGCGCCAGGUUCGGGCGGAGGCCCUCCAAGGACAACGCCGUCACCGUCGACCUGGGGGCCGACCCGGAGGAGAGCUCAUGGGAGGUCGAGGUCGUCGCCAUGGCGAAUGCGGCGCCGCCGCUGGCACGUGCGCCGCCCGGCGUUCUCGCCAGGUUCCACUCCACCAAGGAAGCGAAAGGCAAUAAGGUGUCGCCGGAGGAGGAAGAGGAGGAGGAGUGGAGCGAGGAGGAGGUCCUGCCGAAGCCGUCGGCGGCGCGGCGGAUCUUGUACAACACGGCCAGGGACGACGGCGGCGUGGACGGCUUGGAGGAGGGCACGUGGAAGGACUUUAUGUUCGACGGGCAGAGCCUCGUGGCGCUGCGCCGCAGGCUGGAGGAGGAGACCCGGCGCACCGACUUCGUCGUCUGCCGCCGGAUGGGCGCCCGGCUGUUCCCCGUCGUCCUGGACCUCCCUCCCGGCAACAAAGGCAUGGAGUUCAUCCUCGUCCUGCAAUCCUCUAGAGUGGCAAACGGUCUCGUUUAGGAUGGACGUGGCCCGGCAUCAAUGCAGGCAAAGAUUUUUGCACAGGACUGAAUAUACUUGUGUCUGCUCUGCUAUGAAAGUUCAGACACCUAGGACAUUGUUAGCUUGAACAGAUGGACAGAAAGUAAUCCAACUAUUACUGGAGGAUCUUCUUGGAGCGUUGGUGGUGUUGUACUGCACUGCUUUCUCAUCAGUAGUUCAGUGUCAUCUAUCAUGUGUUUCUGCUAGUUGCUUUCAACUUUUCAAGGUCUUACUAUAUUGGCAGCAGUGCAUAUGCAAGCUGACCUUACUCAAGCUGGAGCAUGGAUGAAUUCUUAGUUGCUGGUAUGUUAUACUCUACGUUAGAUCUUUAGCAAAAGCCAUUUGUAUUUUAUGAUUAGGGAGUUAGUCAACUUGGCAAUUUGAUAAUCCCGAGGAAGUCAAAUUAAACAUAUACUCACUCUGUCCAACAAAAGAUGUCUCAAGUUUGAAAUUUGGUGUAUCUAGACAUAACUUAGUGUAUAGAUGCAAGUUUGUUAAAAUUUGGAUGUAUCUAGACAUGACUUAGUGUCUAGAUGCAAGUUUGUUAAAAUUUGGAUGUGUCUAGACAUGACUUAGUGUAUAGAUGCAUUCAAAUUUGGUCAAAGUUAAAACAUCUUUUGUUGGACGUAGGAGUAUCUUAAGCCAAGAACAUGUGCAAAUAUAUCGAACAGAGAGGGAAUCCCCACAUGAUUUUCAUUCACAGUUUUUCUGUCUAUUGAGUCUUCACGGCCCAUUACAAGAUUGGUUGAAGAGGACCAGAGAACACAAAGGGAUGGAAGAAGAGACA